AAUGAUCGAGUGAGCACCUGACUACCGCGCCUGAGUGCGCGAAGUUACUAUUAACAGAGCACCAAACGAGUAUAAAACAAGUGGUUGGAAUCUUCGGCAGCCGCGUCACUAGAGAUUUUCAGUGCCAAACAAUGGAAACUAAGCCAAGUGUACUCCAAACAGAUAAGUCUUGUUAACAGAAAAAAGGAACUUGAUGAUUCCAUUUCCAUGGAGCUAACAAAAAAACAAAACCAUAUUUCCCACUUGCAAAAGCUAAAGAGAAAAAAAAAGCAAACCGCCCAGUCCUUAUCCGUGAUAAUAAAUAGGAAUCAAUCUAAAGCUUCUUUUUUUUUUUCUACUUUUCUUCUCAUCCUUCCUUUUCCUUUUCGAUACUCUUUAGUUAUAUAUUCGUUACAUUAUAGUUAAAUGUCAGUCAGGAAUUUCAUCAUCGAAUAGAAGAGAUGUGCUACUCAGGGAUUCCUUACAAAAGAGAACGAUAUGUUCAUAUACAGGCAAAUACUGCAGAAUCAACUGGAAGCAGAGGAGUAGUUGCUGGUAGUGCUGUAAUGGCGAAGCAGUGUAUUUGUUCACCAACAAUCCAUCCAGGAUCGUUUAGGUGCAGGCAUCAUCAUGCUGAUUAUAAAUGGGUUGUUCCACUAGGAAAUAAGCAGAAUCACUUUGUUAUACAAGAUGUGCUACUCAAAAGUUCGUUAUUGGGAUGGUAACCUUGACAAAAGAGAACAUCGAGGACGAUAUCUUUCUCUGGUAAGCAUAAGAGGAGCUGAUGGUGCUGGUGCUGGAACGAGGAAGUUUCAAUGUGUUUGUUCCCCCACAAUCCAUCCAGGUUCAUUUAGAUGCAGACAUCAUCAUGCUGAUUAUAAAUGGGUUGCUCGACUCAGACACAAAGCCUAAUUACUUAGGCUACUUCUGUCGCCAAGGUUCUAUCACGAUUUCGCUGUACAAAUUCAAAUUAUCCUUGUAAUUUUUUUCAUUAAGAUGUGGAUUGAACUUUUUUAAAAAUUAAUCAGACACUCUCUUAACUUUUUGUAAUUUAUUUCUUGAAUUGAAGAUAUCUAAAAAUAAACUCUUUAAAGCCUGUCA